AAACCGGCCCUUUUAAGGGCCCCAUUUUAAUCCUGAAAGAUUAUUU
rfam:Zootermopsis nevadensis contig20208, whole genome shotgun sequence.